ensembl:lncRNA
GUUCAUUGUCACUAUGUGCAAAAUCCAUACCUGUGUUUCAGAGUAUACUCUGGACCAUUUUCAGAAUCCUCAAAACCUUGAUAAAUCCAUUUGGCACCAAAUCACCGCAUCAAACAUCACGGAUAACCUCCCCUCUACACUGGGCUGCAGGGGGGGGUUGACUUCGCCCCCCCCCGAAAUGAUGAGGAAGAGCAUGAAUCAAACUGCUCCCGGGAGGCUCACAGGGAGAUGUGAGUCGUCAGCUUCGGCUCGGUGGCCAAGCCGCCGGCGGUCAGACUGGGAUCGCUUUCCCUCCAUCAGCAGGAUGUUAAGAGCCAAAACCCUGAGUGGUCUGCAAUGUGAGGCCUGAAAGACAGGGGUUGCAGAGCAGUUUAACAGCGAGUGCUAUGAGUUGGAAAAUGUGCGAUUUUCUCUGGAG